UACGAGAGGCCCAAACGUUAUUCGGAAUUACUGGGCUUAAAGAGUUCGUAGGCGGCGCAGAAAGUAGGGUGUGAAAGCCCUCGGCUCAACCGAGGAAUUGCGCCCUAAACUACUGUGCUUGAGGAACCUAGAGGUGAGCGGAACUGAUGGUGGAGCGGUGAAAUGCGUUGAUAUCAUCAGGAACACCGGAGGCGAAGGCGGCUACCUGGACCGGUACUGACGCUGAGGCGCGAAAGCUAGGGUAGCAAACAGG
rnacentral:rRNA from 1 species